rnacentral:rRNA from 1 species
UGCCAGCAGCCGCGGUAAGACGAACCGUGCGAACGUUAUUCGGAAUCACUGGGCUUAAAGAGCACGUAGGCGGCGACGUAAGUUGGAGGUGAAAUCCCAUCGGCUCAACCGUGGAACUGCCUUCAAUACUGCGUAGCUUGAGGGAGGUAGGGGCACGUGGAACUUCCAGUGGAGCGGUGAAAUGCGUUGAGAUUGGAAGGAACGCCAGUGGCGAAAGCGACGUGCUGGAUCUCUUCUGACGCUGAGGUGCGAAAGCUAGGGUAGCGAACGGGAUUAGAUA